rnacentral:precursor_RNA from 12 species
UCUUGAUCUUUUCUCGAGAGUUCCCCUCAUCGCCUGAUACUUGCUUCAACCUGGGUAUUUGACAAGGUGAGCAAAGUUUCAGGUGUGUGGGUGGAACACAAGGAGAAUUUUUAUAAAA